CUUAGUUUGAUCAAUUUUGGAAUUGCUUAUGGCUUUCAUUAAAAAUGUGAUGUGCCUAAUUUUCCAAGGCUUGAAUCUCAGUGUAGAUUUUUCUUUCCUUACUUCAAGCAAAUAUUUCUUAGUCCUCCAUUCAACUGUAGCUUACAUUGUUGAGUCCUAUUUGUUUUUGUGAUUUUGGAUUGGUUAGUGCCAAUCAAUUUCUUUUUGAAGGUUGAGUUCGAAUCAACUUCCUAUGGGUUUGAUUUGAAAUAGGUUGCGAUGUUUGUUCUACAUUUUCUAGUUUAUUCUUGUGG
rnacentral:misc_RNA from 1 species